rnacentral:rRNA from 1 species
GAUGAACGCUGGUGGCGUGCCUAAUACAUGCAAGUCGAGCGAACGGACGAGAAGCUUGCUUCUCUGAUGUUAGCGGCGGACGGGUGAGUAACACGUGGAUAACCUACCUAUAAGACUGGGAUAACUUCGGGAAACCGGAGCUAAUACCGGAUAAUAUUUUGUACCGCAUGGUUCAAAAGUGAAAGACGGUCUUGCUGUCACUUAUAGAUGGAUCCGCGCUGCAUUAGCUAGUUGGUAAGGUAACGGCUUACCAAGGCAACGAUGCAUAGCCGACCUGAGAGGGUGAUCGGCCACACUGGAACUGAGACACGGUCCAGACUCCUACGGGAGGCAGCAGUAGGGAAUCUUCCGCAAUGGGCGAAAGCCUGACGGAGCAACGCCGCGUGAGUGAUGAAGGUCUUCGGAUCGUAAAACUCUGUUAUUAGGGAAGAACAUAUGUGUAAGUAACUGUGCACAUCUUGACGGUACCUAAUCAGAAAGCCACGGCUAACUACGUG